rnacentral:misc_RNA from 1 species
GAGAGAGAAGAAGAAGAAGAAGAAUAACUACAAGUAGAAACCCAUGGCCAAAGAUCGUUCAUUUUGAUACCAUCGAUGCAUGAUAUUCCAACCAUAGGAACACAAGAACAGGAAGAAUAGAGAAUAGAGAGAGAAUUAGUAGAAUUCAGAGAGCGAGAGAGGGAGGGGGAGAGAGAGAGAGAGAAUUUCAGAUAAAAAGCAAUUACAAUAAGAUGAUUGUCUUCACUAUGACUCAAGACAGGAUAUGUUACACAAUCAGAGAUUUUUUUGACAUACCUAGUUGAUCCUACUUUCAAUAAA